GGGGACAACAUUUGGAAACGAAUGCUAAUACCGCAUAAAAACUUUAAACACAAGUUUUAAGUUUGAAAGAUGCAAUUGCAUCACUCAAAGAUGAUCCCGCGUUGUAUUAGCUAGUUGGUGAGGUAAAGGCUCACCAAGGCGAUGAUACAUAGCCGACCUGAGAGGGUGAUCGGCCACAUUGGGACUGAGACACGGCCCAAACUCCUACGGGAGGCAGCAGUAGGGAAUCUUCGGCAAUGGACGAAAGUCUGACCGAGCAACGCCGCGUGAGUGAAGAAGGUUUUCGGAUCGUAAAACUCUGUUGGUAGAGAAGAACGUUGGUGAGAGUGGAAAGCUCAUCAAGUGACGGUAACUACCCAGAAAGGGACGGCUAACUACGUGCCAGCAGCCGCGGUAAUACGUAGGUCCCGAGCGUUGUCCGGAUUUAUUGGGCGUAAAGCGAGCGCAGGUGGUUUAUUAAGUCUGGUGUAAAAGGCAGUGGCUCAACCAUUGUAUGCAUUGGAAACUGGUAGACUUGAGUGCAGGAGAGGAGAGUGGAAUUCCAUGUGUAGCGGUGAAAUGCGUAGAUAUAUGGAGGAACACCGGUGGCGAAAGUGACUCUCUGGCCUGUAACUGACACUGAGGCUCGAAAGCGUGGGGAGCAAACAGGAUUAGAUACCCUGGUAGUCCACGCCGUAAACGAUGAGUGCUAGAUGUAGGGAGCUAUAAGUUCUCUGUAUCGCAGCUAACGCAAU
rnacentral:rRNA from 1 species